UACUCAUUUUCUUUUCCCCCAUUCAUCCAGCCAUUUUCUCCCAGCUCUUUCCCCCCUAGUUUGGUCUCCAUUUUCAGUCUCAUUUUUUAACACACACUUCGCAUCUACACAUUGAUUUAGACCUCUACAACUCCGACAUCCUCGAGCUCCGAAGUAUCCGUUCAUUUGGCCGGCACCGACAUCGCUUUAACCGUGCCGUCAAUAUCUCUGACAAUUUUUCGAUCUUCGCUUCCAUCGAUAACAGAAAAAGGAAAGAAAUUUUGAAUGACGUUGAAGUCGAUAUGUUGGAGGAGUCCGAUGAUAACAACAAUGGUGACAAUACAAAAUCACUGCGUGAUGAUGCAACAAGAGAGGAUGGUAUGACUAUGCCUGAGAUGGGCAUCAAGUUCAAGGACGAAAGUUAAAUAUUAUAGUUUUAUAAAAGAUAUGCCUACGACUUGAUUUUUCCAGUGAGAAAAAGAAAUUCUAAAAAGGAUGAUGAUAAAGCUCUACAAUAUGUUACAUUUGUUUGUAGCCGUGAAGGUAAAAGUCAAUAAUACAAGUGUUUCUCUGUAGCCAUAAGCUACGUUGCAGAAGGGGUGUAAAGCCAGACUAACUGCAUGUUCAGAUAUUCAUGGAAUAUGGAGAAGUAACAAAGUACACCUUAUCACAAUCAUAGAACAAGUCCUUUGAAGUCUACACUGUAUCAAUGCAACAGAGAAUUAUGUGCUCAAGUGAAACGUCGGCUUGAAGUAAAUGACGUUGCAGGAUUAUUGCUGCACAAAAGUUUCAACUUUGCAGUUGUUAAAACAUGUGGAUAUGAGAAUAUGACCUACAUCGAGAAGAAUUGUUUAAA